AGGAAGUACAAUAUUAAAUAAUAAUACACGAGAUGAUGGAAUGUAGACGGCCUCAAUAAAAAAUUUGACAAAAUUUCAACCCAGAUGAAUCAGAAAAGAAGGGUCCCGCACCUAAUAUUAUACACAGAAUGACUAUCCUCUAUUGUGCGAGACAAUGCACCACACCAUGGGGUUCCUGCUUUACACGUUGAUAUGGUUGAAAAAUCAAAAUACGCACAACAAAAUACGAACAAAGUUAUGAAACUAGGAAUAUUAUUUAAUUAAUUGAAAAACAAAUAAACAACAUUGUCAAGACGGCUACAAACUGAGGACUAUAAUUUGAACUUAUUUCUCAUACUAAAUUACAAGUUAUAUUUAUAGAGACCUAAACCCAAGAAACCUUAAUAUAUAAUAUACCAAAAUUACCUAACAAUAAUAUAAACCUAAAACUAGGGCUGGGCACAGGCCGCGCUGAGCCCAAAUUUGGAGGAACCAGACCCUACCCAUUUAAAAUUUAAUGGGGUGGGCUGAGUCGGGUAGAGGGAUUUUGAGUUUGGAAAUCGGAUCUAAUAUCGGCCCGUUUGCCACGGGUUCAAUUACUUCUUCUUUUUUUCGGUUUUGGGCAUACGGAGAUUGAAGCAAAAUGAGGUGGAGGAGGCGGUGGCUACAAAUUCAUAAAAGACAAAGGGUAUGUUCAAUGAAAACCCAAAUUCUCUAAGAACCCACAAAAAAUUCACAAAAAAAAAAAAAAAAAAAAAAAAAACAAACAAACAAAGGGACGACCUCGUUGAGGCCGUCUUCCUUAUCAUAGAAGAGAAUCGGUGGGAGAAGAAAUUUUCCCCACCUGAAGUUAUUGUCUUCCUCAGUCCUUUUUCUUAGGACGCGAGACCCCAACGGACAUAUGAGCUUAAUGUGUAGGCUUCCUCUCUUCUUCUUCAUGCCUUGCCUUCAAUAUUUUAUUCCUCUUAACUGUAGUCCACAAAUUAGCAACAUCAUUCACAAAACCCUAACUGCAAUAGAACUCACAGAUAUAUAGACUUUUUGGGGAAAAAGAAAUUACAAGUGCUUCUUUGUCGACCAAUAUGUUGGAUUUCAAGUUAAGAAAAAUAAAUAAAUUCAGAGUUUCAGCUGGGAUUCUAUGAGUGAGGGAGCAGAGGCAGAACCGAACAAGCACCACAAAAUCAACUGAUUUAGACCAGAUUGGGUGGUCAGCAGCCGAGUUGUUCCCUUCCGUCUUCUUUGAACUGUUUGAGCCCAUCGUCUUCUUCGAACUAGAGCCUUGCAAUUUUCGUCUUCUCCGAUGGUGAUGUGAUGUGGUGUCGUCAUUGUCGAGGGGGAGAAGAGUGGGGUGCAAAGGAAUGAAAUUUGGUGUCGUCGUUUGACGACGCUUUGGAUGCAAAGGAAAGAUUGGGAUUUUGAAGGAAUGAAAUUUGGGAGUGGGAUGGAAUGGAUAAUGGAUUAGGGUUAGAGAAUUACUAAUGGAAAUGGUUGUUAUAAACGGGCCGUUCGGGACCCGUUAUUCCAAAUCCUAGGGCUCGGCCCGCCUCUUCCCAUUUCUAUUCUCAAAAAAUUAGAACUGCCCUGUACCCAUCCUGAACCUAAAUUACCCGCCCCUACCUACGGUUCCUAUACCAGUUUGCCCACCCCUACCUAAAACUAAUAUUUUCAAACAGAUACCUGGAUUGAAGAAUCUCUGCCAUAAUUUUUUUUUUUGUAUUAUUAGGACUUUCAUAGUAGUUUAGGUGAAUUUGAUUCCUAUAUUGCAAUAUCGGUACAAUGGUGUUAGGUUGAUAAGAGAUACUUUGGAUGCGGUUCCUAAUCUUUAACAUUCUUUGACUAAAACCUUAAUGGUAUUCAAAGUUUGAUCAAAGUCCCUUGACUUUGUACACCGCAUUAUAUUACAAUUAAUAUUAAUAUUUUUAUAGUUUUGACAUUAAUUGUUUGAUAUUUUAUGAGGUUUAUAAUCCUAUAAAUUUAAAAUCCCUCAUUAUAAUA
rnacentral:lncRNA from 1 species